AAAUUGAAGAGUUUGAUCAUGGCUCAGAUUGAACGCUGGCGGCAGGCCUAACACAUGCAAGUCGAACGGUAACAGGAAACAGCUU
rnacentral:rRNA from 3 species